rnacentral:rRNA from 1 species
UACGAGGGGGGCAAGCGUUGUUCGGAAUUAUUGGGCGUAAAGGGUGCGUAGGCGGUCUGACAAGUCUGAUGUGAAAUCUAUGGGCUCAACCCAUAGUCUGCAUCGGAAACUGUCGGGCUUGAGUAUGGGAGAGGUGAGUGGAAUUUCCGGUGUAGCGGUGAAAUGCGCAGAUAUCAGGAAGAACACCCGUGGCGAAAGCGGCUCUCGUGGAACGGUACUGACGCUGAGACGCGAAAGCGUGGGGAGCGAACAGG